GUAUCUAGCCUUAAAUAGAUCACCCGUAGUUGGCUCUAGAUACUUAAUAAUGGUGGGAGAAUCAAAUCCAACAUAUAUUCCCAUCCUCCUUUUAGGUCCCAUCUUUGUUCUAUGUGGUGGAGCAAUCGGUACAUAUACGGCACACCCGAAAGUCUUUAGAUGGGAUAUGUCUGGCUCAUGACCCAUGAGUAAUUGGGAUGGUGAAUAUCUAUGUUCACUAGAUGGCCUUAUGCGUAUAAGUUCUGAUGCAUGUAAAACAGUGUGUCCCCAAGCGGCUACUGGAAGCUUCGACCUCAUGAGUAAUGGUCGAGCUAUCAAUUGAAUUCGUUUAAUGAAGGAUUCCGCUAAUCCAUUCUGUGUAUGUACAUGUGCUACGGGAUGUUCCACACUUACCCCCAUGGACAUACAGUAGUCAUUAAACGCUUGGGACGUGAAUUCACCGGCAUUAUCUAGACGUAUAGUCUUAAGCGGAAAGUCUGGAAAGUGGGCUCGCAGUCUUAUUAUCUGGGCCAAUAACCUAGCAAACCCUUGGUUUCUAGUAGAUAGGAGACAAACAUGCGACCAUCUUGUCGAUGCGUCAAUGAGAACCAUAAAGUAUCUAAACGUCCCACAUGGUGGGUGUAUUGGUCCACAUAUAUCCCCUUGUAUCCUUUCCAGAAAAUUUAAGGUCUCUUUAUUUACCUUAGCCGGUGAUGGCCUUAUAAUGAGUUUCCCUUGUGAACAUGCUUCACACGUGAGAUUCUUAGGGAUAACUCUUUUCUCUCUUAGGGUGUGCCACUUUGAAUUAGUUAUUAGUUUACGCAUCAUACUAUGACCCGGAUGGCCAAGCCGGUCAUGCCAUAAAGUGAAUUUCUCGAUGAACUCUUUGUUCAUUGCCAUAUUAGCUUCGAUCAUAUCGAUUUUAGCAUAGUAGAGACUAGUGGAUAAUGCGGGUAUAGUCUCUAGGACUUUCUUAUGUCCUUUGGUGAUCUCAAUUAUAUUUAGGAAUUCUUUGUUCCCUUCACCCUUUGUUUCAAUAUGGAAACCAUCCAAUCUUAUAUCUUUAAAACUCAAUAAGCUCCUUUUUGAGCUGGGUGAAAACAAGGCACCGCUUAGUUCAAGAUGCGUGCCCUUUGAUAAAAGUAUAUGGGCUUGACCGUGGCCCUCAAUAAGACUAGCUAUACCCGCUAUGGUGCUAAUAUUGGCAUUUUUCAUUAUGAGAUUUAGAAAGUAUCUCUUGUCUUUUGUGUGGCUCCACUAUCCACCACAAAUAUGUUCUUGUCCUCGGCCAUUUCUUAUAUGGACAAGAAUCAUGUUCUGAAUAUAAAAUAAUAUAAAAUAAAUUCAAGCAAAUAACAAUCAAUGAACACAUAAAAUGCAAAGAAUAACAUAGAGGUUUUGAUGUCGAAGUAAGAUUUAUCAACUUGAUUCUUUUAUGCAAUAUGAAGUUUCAUACUUUAUUAGAUCAUCUUGAUCAUGUUCACCAUCUUUAUAUACCAAAUGGGCUUUAGGAUUCUUCCCUUUUACACUCUCUUGAUAGAGGUCACAAUGAUGUUUGGAAGCCCUACAUAUCUUAGCCCAAUGGUUUCCCAUUCCAUAUAUAUGGCAUACUCAUUUGGUCGAGUGUUGUGGUUUAGAAAUACCACAUCGUCCUCGCCCUCGACCACGGCCGGAAUUGGGUCUACAUCCACGGUUAUAGUGGUUCCCACGGCCGGAUGAGUUAUAGUGGCCACAACCACGUCCUUUCAAUACCACAUCUAUGGCAUACUCAUUUGGUCGAGUGUUGUGGUUUGGAAAUACCACAUCGUCCUCGCCCUCGACCACGGCCGGAAAUUGGGUCUACAUCCACGGUUAUAGUGGUUCCCACGGCCGGAUGAGUUAUAGUGGCCACAACCACGUCCUUUCCAUCCACCACGGUCACGGCCGUGUGGUCUAUCACUUUAGACGUGGUUAGAUUCUUUGGAUUCUUUCUUAUCCUCUGCGGCCUUAUUGGCAUUAGGUAAUGGGGUUAAUCUAUGAGGUCGUAAUCUAUGAGACUCUCAAUAAGACGGUGGCUAAUAUUGCCUUGUAUCUAUCUUUCUCUCUUGGCGUUAUUGCCUUAUUAGAUACAUUUACCAAGUCCUUUUGACUUUAGGAUAAUCUUAGUAUCCAUUGCCCAUUUUAAAUAAUUAUCUCCUAAGAGAUUUAGGGCAGUAAAGUACAAGUUGUAAUUCAACAUCUACAAGGAAAAGUUUUGAGUCAAAAUCAUGUAAUCGUUAGUGUCAUGCGGUAUUUGAGACCGAACCAUGAAUCGAUUUACUUAGGGAUUUGACUUUCCUCUUUUGCUUAGGAUUAGAUUUCCUCUUUUGCUUAUGAUUUUAGGGUUUUCAGAUUUCCUAUUUUGAUUUUUAGGAUUUAGGGUUUUAGGGUUUAUGCAACAUGAGGGAUUUUAUCUCUUUAACAAUUCAUGCAUGCAACCACAGAAACAAUCAAACUAAAACGCCCUAAGCAACCUCAACCAAACGAUUUUAGAAUUUAGGGU